CGGGGGCCGUCAUUCGGUGGCGGGUCCCGGCCGCGGGGCUGGCGGGCUGAGGGGAGAAAAGAUGGCGGCGGCGGCGGCAGCUGGUGCGGCCUCCGGGCUGCCGGGUCCAGUGGCACAAGGAUUGAAGGAAGCGUUAGUGGAUACGCUCACCGGGAUCCUAUCCCCAGUACAGGAGGUGCGGGCGGCUGCUGAAGAACAGAUUAAGGUGCUGGAGGUGACGGAGGUAUAGCGUAAGCACUGUCCACCUGCGAAGGGCGCCCCUCAAGGAUCCAGACGCACUCCUGGGCAUGUGGCGGGCACUGAGCCGAGCGGAAGGCGGCCACGCUCGGAAAAAGAAUUUGGUGUUCACUUGGCAGAACUGACUGUAGAUCCCCAGGGGGCACUGGCAAUCCGUCAGCUGGCAUCAGUCAUCUUGAAACAAUAUGUGGAGACUCACUGGUGUGCCCAAUCAGAGAAAUUUAGGCCUCCUGAAACUACAGAAAGGGCAAAAAUUGUUAUCCGGGAGCUAUUGCCUAAUGGGUUGAGAGAAUCGAUAAGCAAAGUGCGCUCCAGUGUGGCCUAUGCAGUGUCAGCCAUUGCCCACUGGGACUGGCCUGAAGCUUGGCCCCAACUCUUCAACCUGCUCAUGGAGAUGUUGGUGAGCGGAGACUUAAAUGCCGUCCAUGGAGCCAUGCGUGUGCUGACAGAAUUCACUCGUGAAGUAACAGACACACAGAUGCCACUUGUUGCUCCUGUCAUUCUCCCAGAGAUGUAUAAGAUCUUCACCAUGGCUGAGGUGUAUGGUAUUCGAACCCGUUCCCGAGCCGUGGAGAUUUUUACCACUUGUGCCCAUAUGAUC
rnacentral:sRNA from 1 species